UCAUUGCACAUGUGGAUCAUGGCAAAAGUACUUUGGCAGAUAGGCUGCUGGAAUUAACAGGGGCAAUAGAUAAAACAAAAAAUAAUAAGCAAGUUCUUGAUAAAUUGCAAGUGGAGCAAGAAAGAGGAAUCACGGUGAAAGCACAGACAGCAUCUCUCUUCUAUAAUUGUGAUGGAAAGCAGUACCUUUUAAAUCUCAUUGAUACACCAGGCCAUGUAGAUUUUAGUUAUGAAGUAUCCAGGUCACUGUCUGCUUGCCAGGGUGUUUUACUUGUGGUUGAUGCAAAUGAGGUGUGUACUU